rnacentral:rRNA from 1 species
GACGAACGCUGGCGGCGUGCUUAACACAUGCAAGUCGAACGGAAAGGCCCUGCUUUUGUGGGGUGCUCGAUUGGCGAACGGGUGAGUAACACGUGAGUAACCUGCCCUUGACUUUGUGAUAACUUCAGGAAACUGGGGCUAAUACCGGAUAUGAGCUCCUGCUGCAUGGUGGGGGUUGGUAAGUUUCGGCGGUUGGGGAUGGACUCGCGGCUUAUCAGCUUGUUGGUGGGGUAGUGGCUUACCAAGGCUUUGACGGGUAGCCGGCCUGAGCGGGUGACCGGCCACAUUGGGACUGAGAUACGGCCCAGACUCCUACGGGAGGCAGCAGUGGGGAAUAUUGCACAAUGGGCGGAAGCCUGAUGCAGCAACGCCGCGUGCGGGAUGACGGCCUUCGGGUUGUAAACCGCUUUCGCCUGUGACGAGGCGUGAGUGACGGUAAUGGGUAAAGAAGCACCGGCUAACUACGUG